rnacentral:rRNA from 1 species
UACGUAGGGGGCUAGCGUUGUCCGGAUUUAUUGGGCGUAAAGAGCGUGUAGGCGGCCAGGUAGGUCUGCUGUGAAAACUCGAGGCUCAACCUCGAGAUGUCGGCGGAAACCAUCUGGCUAGAGUCCGGAAGAGGAGAGUGGAAUUCCCGGUGUAGCGGUGAAAUGCGCAGAUAUCGGGAAGAACACCCGUGGCGAAGGCGGCUCUCUGGGACGGUACUGACGCUGAGACGCGAAAGCGUGGGGAGCGAACAGG